UUUUACGUAAGUAAGUGCCAUUUUAGCUAAAGUAAGUGGUAGAAGUCCUCCCCAAUGCGUGCUGGAUCCAUCAAAAGCGGUACACGCAUGUACCAGCGUAGGAAGGUGAUGUGAUGAACAACACAGCAUACGGCAGCGGAUGUAAUGCAGAAACGAUAUGGGCCUGCCGCAGCUGUUUUCCAUUGUACGUUGCAUUGUAUAUGAUUCGGUAUGUUCGCCAAUUUUCCUCUAUCCUGGAACGUGGGUUUCGAGAAACCAUUUAAGAACAUCCUCCGGAAGCUGUACGACGACGAGGCGAGCUCUACCAACACAACACGCUAGAAGCCCAACUGGCACCGGGUGCCCCGAUUGCGCCGCCGGACGGUGUCGAGCGCGCUCGUUCACAACGUUCGGGGCAGGAAUUCAACCUUUCGGAUCAUUAUCCUCUGCCUCACAAUAGCUGCAGCAGCAACAGGACCGAACCGACCGCACAACUGAUUGCGGUCAAAUUUCCUGGCAGGAGAAAAAAAUCCCACAAGUGUAUCGAACAGGCUAAUGACGGACCCCGAAAAGGCGACAAACAUUCAUCCCCAGCGGCCUAAGAUGUUCUUAGUGUUCAGUGGUGUGCGCGACCGUCAAAGUGUUAAAAAUUUUAAUUAACAAGAUAACACUAUUAUGGUGAUGUCGUGUAGAUGUGCGCAAGUGGAUUAAGAUAACACUUAAGUACGCUUUACGACAUAAAAAAAUGCAAAAUGCGCGUGUGUCUGAAGGGGCGGGAUAGCCGCUAACCAAACUAAGCGGCCGCGUGGGGC